UACGGAGGGUGCAAGCGUUAAUCGGAAUUACUGGGCGUAAAGGGUGCGUAGGCGGUUGUUUAAGUCUGUUGUGAAAUCCCCGGGCUCAACCUGGGAAUGGCAAUGGAUACUGGGCAGCUAGAGUGUGUCAGAGGAUGGUGGAAUUCCCGGUGUAGCGGUGAAAUGCGUAGAGAUCGGGAGGAACAUCAGUGGCGAAGGCGGCCAUCUGGGACAACACUGACGCUGAAGCACGAAAGCGUGGGGAGCAAACAGGAUUAGAAACCCCU
rnacentral:rRNA from 1 species